CCUACGGGAGGCAGCAGUAGGGAAUCUUGCGCAAUGGGCGAAAGCCUGACGCAGCAACGCCGCGUGAACGAGACGCCCUUCUGGGUGUAAAGUUCUGUCAGUGGGGACGAAAAAUGACGGUACCCACAGAGGAAGCACCGGCUAACGCCGUGCCAGCAGCCGCGGUAAUACGGAGGGUGCAAGCGUGGUCCGGAAUCAUUGGGCGUAAAGAGAUCGUAGGCGGCAUGUAAAGUCAGGUGUUAAAGGCGCAGGCUCAACCUGUGUAUGGCACUUGAUACUGGCAAGCUGGAAUGCUGUAGAGGUAAAGGGAAUUCCUGGUGUAGCGGUGAAAUGCGUAGAUAUCAGGAGGAACAUCGGUGGCGAAAGCGCUUUACUGGGCCGUAAUUGACGCUGAGGAACGAAAGCCAGGGUAGCAAAUGGGAUUAGAUACCCGAGUAGUC
rnacentral:rRNA from 1 species